rnacentral:rRNA from 1 species
AUACGAAGGGGGCUAGCGUUGUUCGGAAUUACUGGGCGUAAAGCGCGCGUAGGCGGAUUGGUCAGUUAGGGGUGAAAUCCCAGGGCUUAACCCUGGAACUGCCUCUAAUACUGCCAGUCUUGAGUUCGGGAGAGGUGAGUGGAAUUCCUAGUGUAGAGGUGAAAUUCGUAGAUAUUAGGAAGAACACCAGUGGCGAAGGCGGCUCACUGGCCCGGUACUGACGCUGAGGUGCGAAAGCGUGGGGAGCAAACAGGAUUAGAAACCCUAGUAGUCC